AUACGUAGGGUGCAAGCGUUAUCCGGAAUUAUUGGGCGUAAAGGGCUCGUAGGCGGUUCGUCGCGUCCGGUGUGAAAGUCCAUCGCUUAACGGUGGAUCUGCGCCGGGUACGGGCGGGCUGGAGUGCGGUAGGGGAGACUGGAAUUCCCGGUGUAACGGUGGAAUGUGUAGAUAUCGGGAAGAACACCAAUGGCGAAGGCAGGUCUCUGGGCCGUUACUGACGCUGAGGAGCGAAAGCGUGGGGAGCGAACAGGAUUAGAUACCCUGGUAGUCCACGCCGUAAACGGUGGAUGCUGGAUGUGGGGCCCGUUCCACGGGUUCCGUGUCGGAGCUAACGCGUUAAGCAUCCCGCCUGGGGAGUACGGCCGCAAGGCUAAAACUCAAAGAAAUUGACGGGGGCCCGCGCAAGCGGCGGAGCAUGCGGAUUAAUUCGAUGCAACGCGAAGAACCUUACCUGGGCUUGACAUGUUCCCGACCGCGGCAGAGAUGUCGUUUCCCUUCGGGGCGGGUUCACAGGUGGUGCAUGGUCGUCGUCAGCUCGUGUCGUGAGAUGUUGGGUUAAGUCCCGCAACGAGCGCAACCCUCGCCCUGUGUUGCCAGCACGUCAUGGUGGGAACUCACGGGGGACCGCCGGGGUCAACUCGGAGGAAGGUGGGGAUGACGUCAGAUCAUCAUGCCCCUUACGUCCAGGGCUUCACGCAUGCUACAAUGGCCGGUACAACGGGAUGCGACACGGCGACGUGGAGCGGAUCCCUGAAAACCGGUCUCAGUUCGGAUUGGAGUCUGCAACCCGACUCCAUGAAGGCGGAGUCGCUAGUAAUCGCGGAUCAGCAACGCCGCGGUGAAUGCGUUCCCGGGCCUUGUACACACCGCCCGUCAAGUCAUGAAAGUGGGUAGCACCCGAAGCUGGUGGCCUAACCCUUUGUGGAUGGAGCCGUCUAAGGUGAGACUCGUGAUUGGGACU
rnacentral:rRNA from 1 species